AAUGUGUGGGAGAACGUUCUCUUCACACAACAGGAUUUUAUGGUCAUAAUAAUGAUAGCGAUGAGUUUGGAGUGUUAGAUGGGCUGCUCUGCAUUAAUAUUCUAGUGCAACAUUUGGUUUCCCUCCACUAGAUACUCAUUUUCUGUUAUUUUGUUUUAGUGGAAAGAAAUCCAUCACAAGGCCAGCGCCACCGUGACGAUCAGCUCCAUGAAAGAAGAAAGAUUCAGACCACCACUUUUUUUUACCCCUUUGUGUGGUUUUUCAUCAUCUGUGAACAAGACAAAGGGAAGAUGAAGGAGAAGGAACGUUUCUCAGAGGACAUGAAUUACUGCCUGCCUCUGGACAAAACCGCCACCAUAUCUUUUAAUCAUCAGAGGAAGCCCCGCACAAAACAACGCCAGUGAAGUUGAAGAACAGAUCAGUUGAAAGUGUCCCUUGUUAUUUCUCCACCUUUUUUCUUCUUCAAAGCUGAAUACGCUCCUCAAAAUGUCGCCGAAAAUCAAGUUCCAUUAUGAGGAAACGAAGCAUCGUUGGUUUCCAUUAAACGCCCUCACAAAUCAUUCAGAGACGGCUGGGGGAGCACCACGGUUUCCCAUGAUUGGUCUACAAAUCAAACAAGGUGAGCCAUAAAAAAAAAUAAAACUGUAAGGGAUGUUUGUUUCCUGGCUCUUUCUUUUCAUUCUUCAGUCCAUGUGAUAAAUAUUAGCUUUGAUUUUUUUUAAUCUUCACAUGUAUUUGUAAGCUCAAAGUCAAAGUUGUGACACCAGCACUGCAAAAACAGAAUCUUAAGAAAGUAUUAAGACCUUUGUUUCAAGAAAAAAUUAUUAUUUUCUGUCCUACAUUAAAGAUAAUCUUUCAAGAAAGUUUUUUAAUAGCAAAUUAAUCUUAGUUUAAGAAACUGACAGGAAUUUCUUUUCAUAAAAUAGGAACUCUUGAGAUUUUUCAAUUUAUUUCUAUGGGGCUUGUUUUAAAAAAAUCAGAGGUUAAAGGCGGAAAGGACUUCUGUACUUUCACUUUCAAGCUUCUCUCCUCUGUUGCUGUGGCAAAAAAUGAUGAUAAAACUAAUCUGAAAGUAUUUUGAGUAAAUAGAAACACACUGCAAAAGGUUUGGAACUCAAAGAGAGAUUUUGAUUGGUGCAGAUAACCGGGUUUUUUCCUGAAAGACGAUCUACAGUGAAAUUCAGCAAAGCAAAG
rnacentral:lncRNA from 1 species